UCAAAGCAAAUAAUGUGCUUUCUUUGAAACGACGAGUUUAAUAACCCGUGCAAAAGGGUACAGCUAACACAAUAUGUUGCUUGUGGAAGUGACGUUGCAUAUGGUGGAUAUAAUAACAGCGACAUUGUGAGUGUACCUGCUGCUUACAAGAUCCCGAAAAAGCUCAAAUUGAAAUAAAUCGGUUUCGGUCGAAGCAGACGGUACUAAAUAGCUUGACCCUAAAAACGGUUUACAUUUAAAUCAUCGUUUCCGCUUAUGAGUUCUGGUUUAUAUUUAAAGAUUUAUGAAACACAAAGUUGUACGUUGGAUGUGUAACUGUGAAUAUGUGAGUUUUUCUUUGAUAUAAAACAUGUUCCUGAAAUAGGUUUAGAUCUUGCUUGGCCUCUAUUUAAUGUCUGGUGCACGUUCUUCAGUUUUCAAAAUCGCAAUAAACUACUCCUGUGUAUAUAAAGAAUAGGAAAUGCCCCUAACCCAAUUCAAGAAAUAAAUAUGGACGUUUUGAGGAGGAAUUGAUGUAAAACCGGAAUCGUUACUUAUUUUUGAAUGUCCUACAUUUACUACAGAUAAAGGAUCAACAAACCGAGAAAUCCGAAGAAUUACAGACAAUUGGUGACCUUCUGGUCAGAGGAAAAGUUGAAGAGAUAAAAUAAAAAUUUACUUAUCUCCAUCGUUAAUAACAAAUUCGGGGUAACUACUUCAAGCUAUUUCUACGAAUUCGUCACUACUUCUUAUCACCUGAAAAGAUUAACAACCAUUUUAACAAUGAAAGAUCACCAGAUAAUAGCACCUGGAAAACUUCGUGACCUUAACAGACAUAUCACCAAUAAGACGAAAUAACACACAAAAACGUUGUCAAAAUAACACAAAAACAAAACGUCCUUCUGUGAAACAAACUAAGUUAAUGUCUUGUACGAAAAAACAAACCAUGGUCACAAAAUUUCAUACAAGUUCUCCAAAAUAAAGUCAGCAAAACGUUUGCGAACUUGCAAUUUUUCUUUCCGUGCAACGAAUUUUAACUUACGCAAAUUUUCAACGAUUACGCUUACCUUUAGUCGAAAAUAUUUGGGUUAAAGUAACACGGAUCACGCUCAUGACAGCUAUCAAUCGGGAGGCAAAAUACAAAGCACCAAUAUAAACAACAACGCCUAAAGUAGUAACCCGUGUAUUUACUUGUUAUUUUUUUAUUUACGUAGAUUGAUACAAUAGUAGACACCACACACGAUUCCGCAACAUGUUAUUUAAAUGCUAAGCCACGUACAAGUAAGUGAAUAUUAAUACAUUUCGCUGAUUUAUCAAGGUUACAUUUUUCUCUCGGCAUAUUCCAUACUCUGUCUACAACAAAUUAUCAAUUCCGACGUUGCUAAACACCAACAACCGAAAAACAACCUCCCUAUUAUUUGCACCGUCCUCCUCGACCACAGGAAAACAAUAACACGCCGCAUUUUUACCGCCUCAUUACGACUUUCACAAGAAAAACAUUAAGCAAACCAGGAACUCGUGACGUAAGAAAAAUAAAUACAAAUUACUUUUUCGUUCUACUGUAACUAAAUGGCAUGUAAUUUCUUACAUUAACAAUUAAUACAACGAUAAGCGUUUUAAUUAACAACAUUUAUGCUAAUAAUUGCGCCAGGUCUAAUUGUGAUGCAUGUGAGCAUCUUCGGGAUCAACACUUCGAAAAGAAAAAUAACUUGCUUGUCAUCGCAAUACCAAAUGGGUUGUCUUCCAUUUGAGAUCUCGCAGAAUCGAUAGUAUGGUAAACCGUGAGCGCUUGGUCACCGUAAAAAGGUCAAGAGAAUGUUGUGACGCAAAUGAAAAUGAUUGUCGUGUCAAAUGCCUAAGCAAUUGUAAUCGAUUCAAUUGGGUAGCAUCCAAUUGUUGAAAGUAUAAAUAGUUGAUGGUGAUUGUACACGGUGAACACACUUUCCGCGAUUACCUCUUUUGGGAUUUUCCUGCGACGAAGUCUGUCAGGUGUAUGCAGAACUGCAACCAGUGUUUCCAGUUCUCUGAAGUCGCGCAAAAAUCGGAAAUUUCAGGUCAUUCAACUUUGUGGGCAAUUUUAUUUUUUAAUUCCCAGGCGAUAGCCAAAAGGUUUGUAAGGAACUACCGAAUCGAAUA